CAUUAGUUAGUUGGUGAGGUAAUGGCCCACCAAGACUAUGAUGUUUAGCCGGGUCGAGAGACUGAACGGCCACAUUGGGACUGAGAUACGGCCCAAACUCCUACGGGAGGCAGCAGUAGGGAAUAUUCCACAAUGAGCGAAAGCUUGAUGGAGCGACACAGCGUGCACGAUGAAGGUCUUCGGAUUGUAAAGUGCUGUUAUAAGGGAAGAACACUCAGUAGAGGAAAUGCUAUUGAGCUGACGGUACCUUGUCAGAAAGCGAUGGCUAACUAUGUGCCAGCAGCCGCGGUAAUACAUAGGUCGCAAGCGUUAUCCGGAAUUAUUGGGCGUAAAGCGUUCGUAGGCUGUUUGUUAAGUCUAGAGUCAAAUCCCAGGGCUCAACCCUGGCUCGCUUUGGAUACUGGCAAACUAGAGUUAGAUAGAGGUAAGCGGAAUUCCAUGUGAAGCGGUGAAAUGCGUAGAUAUAUGGAAGAACACCAAAGGCGAAGGCAGCUUACUGGGUCUAUACUGACGCUGAGGGACGAAAGCGUGGGGAGCAAACAGGAUUAGAUACCCUGGUAGUCCACGCUGUAAACGAUGAUCAUUAGUCGGUGGAGAAUCACUGACGCAGCUAACGCAUUAAAUGAUCCG
rnacentral:rRNA from 1 species